GCGGGGCUGAGAGGAGAGGGGGGCGAGGCGGCUGCGGGAGGCGACCCCAAGCGGCCACGGGAGACCCCCGGGGAGAAGGCGAGGCGCUCCCCCGGCCGGCCCUGAGGAGAGGGGCGGCUGCGAGCACCCCUUCCCCGGCUCUGUGAGGGGGGAACGGGGCGCGGUUGGGCUGUGACAGAGCCGGGGGUAUGGGGGGCACACGGGCAGGGCGAGCAACUUCGCUUUCCGUGCCUUGAAACGGGACGGAGCCAGCCGAGACCGGGCUCCCCCCCCUCUAUAUAUACACACACGCGCUCGGUGUGGCGGUGGGAGGGGAGCGGGGCCAUGUCCCCAGCCCUGCCGGGGGUUUUUGCGGUGCCGGGGGCCGCCCUGACGCCCGGCUGUCCCCCAGGUGCUGCGCGGCGCUGGAGAUCGGCAGCCGGCGGGGCGAGGCGAGGCGCCUAAUGGAGGCGGCGGCGGGGCGCUGAGGGAGCGGAGAGGCUGCGGCUGUCAGCGCUGCCCGCAGAAAACAAAAAGUGGAUUCUGUUCCCAUAAGCCGCUCUUGCAAAAUCUGCACAAACAUUUAUUAGUCUAGACACAAAAUAUUCUCAGCCGGCCUCAGCCUGACGAUGGCAAAAAGAAAUAAAAAUAAUAAUAAUAAUAAUAAAAAAAAGAAAAGGCAAGCUAAUAUUGUACUUGGCUGUGAAAAGGGAAGGGGGGAAUCAUGCCCCAGGCUAGUGAAGCUGUAACAUUUUGCUGGGGCUGCCUACAACAACAGAUGCAUCUCGUUCCCCUGGGCUUCCAGUCCUGCCUAUUCUCUUCUGCUGAACUUGGCCGCUCGCAAACAUUCCCUGUCACUCAGAAAACGCCUUCAGUCUUCACUCACUGCAGCAUUCACAAAGUGAAUGCCUUCCUGUAAGGUGAGCCCGGAGCGGCGUCAGGCAUUGCUGGGCUCCUCGUCCGGCGGCGGUGGUGAAGUGAAAGAUGCCAAAUGUGAAGUUUGACAGUGAGCUCGGGGGCUUGUGCUGGCCCGGUGGCUCUCUAAGCCCCCGUGUCUGAGCAGCGGGAGCAUCCGAGCAGCACAGGACGGAGCUCAGCAAGAGGCUGGGGUCAGGGCACUGCUGCAAAUAGCAAUGCUUUGCUGGCUGCAGAAGUUAACCAGGUACACAGCGCUGUUUUACUACAUGGUGGAGACCUACAGAGAGUGUUUCUGCCCUCCUUUUUAGCUGAAACAUCCCCAGAUUCUAAGGGGAAAAGGAGUAGAAGGGACUUGCGGAGUAAUGUUCUAGUGAAACCCAGCCUUCCUAAAGAAGCCUGCCUGAAUAAUUCCUGUGAAUAACAGACUCUGUUCAGCUCUUUCCUAACAUAGAAACGGUGCUGACUGCUUCUUCAGAGUAACAUAAGUUAGUGAUGCUACUGAAAUAGUUGUGGUUCAGACGUAGAUCUGAUUUCUCCU